UCUAAAUACCACGCAUCUGCUGGAAAUCACGAUGGGAUUCUCGUGCUGGAUUACUUGAGUCGUUUAGAAUCACUUAAGAUGGGUCGAUUUUCCGGAUAUGAGUUUGAAUUCCCAUUUAAUUUGAGAAAGUUGACUCUUUUACAGAAUCGUCAACCAUGGAGUAAAAUUUCAGCAAUUGGAAAGCUGCCCAACCUUGAAGUGCUUAAAUUAUGCCCUGUUUCCUUUGUGGGGGAAAAAUGGGAAAUGCAAGAAGGGGAGUUCCAAAACCUCCGAUACUUGAAAUUGUUUGGCUUGGACAUUAGCUGGUGGACUGCAUCUUGUGAUAAUUUUUGCUGUCUUGAGAAAUUGGUUUUGGAGAAUUGUUUUAGCCUGGAAGAGGUCCCCUCUUGUUUAGGGGAAACCCUUACUCUUGACAUGAUUACGGUGAAAUGGUGUCAUGAGUCUGCCGUAAAUUGUGUGAAGCAAAUUCAGCAAGAGCAGAUGGAUAUGGGAAACAAGGAUCUGAAGAUCGUUAUUGAACAAGAAAAUUGAUGACGGUCCAUGGUUUCUUCUUAGUGCGAACCGAGAAAGAGAGUCGGUUUCCUCUCAUCACAUUUUUUGCAGCGGGUGCUGUUGAUGUAUCUUCUUGAAUGGGCAGAGACCCAAAAGCAGGGCAGGUUCCGCUUAUCAGAUUUGUGUGAUCCUUACAACCAGCUGAGCACAAGCAUAUACAUUCCAGCUCCUUUAUUUGAAAGUACCUGAAGGAGCAGAAUAUAUACAGAAGAUUGAAGGGACAAUAAAAACAAAUCAACGAACUUUUGGACCAUGCACUGAGGAUGUGAUAGUCUUCUUGGAUUGCUGGCCUGCAUCAAAUUCCUCAGUGGGGAAAGCCCUCAAGUUGCUGGUAUGGUUCUUGAACUGAAACUUCCUGUGGGUAGAUCAUCUAGUGCUAUCUCAGUCAUUGGAGGCUUAGCAUGAGCUGUUUAUCCUUUCUGCAUUUUCUUCUUCUGAUCCGGUUCUGAGCAGAUACGCCCCGGAUUCAAGUGUCGUAGUUUACCAGCCUGACAUCACUGCCAGGCUUGAUUUCCUCUCAUCACAUUUUGCAAUGGGUGCUGUUAAUGUAUCUUCUUCAGUGGGCAGAGACUCAAAAGCA